rnacentral:rRNA from 1 species
UACAGAGGUGGCAAACGUUGUCCGGAUUUAUUGGGUGUAAAGGGCAUGUAGGUGGUUUUGUAAGUCAAAGGUGAAAUGGCCCGGCUCAACCAGGUCCUUGCCUUUGAAACUGCAGAGCUUGAGUACGGAAGAGGAAAGCGGAAUUCCCAGUGUAGCGGUGAAAUGCGUAGAUAUUGGGAGGAACACCGGUGGCGAAGGCGGCCAUCUGGACCGGUUCUGACGCUGAGGCGCGAAAGCGUGGGGAGCAAACAGG